rnacentral:rRNA from 1 species
AUUGAACGCUGGCGGCAGGCCUAACACAUGCAAGUCGAGCGGAGCGGCGGUCGGGUGCGUAAUGCCUAGGAAUCUGCAUGGUAGUGGGGGAUAGCGUCCGGAAACGGGCGCUAAUGCCGCAUCCUAUCGCGUGAGCCUAGGUCGGAUUAGCUAGUUGGUGGGGUAAAGGCCUACCAAGGCGACGAUCCGUAUCUGGUCUGAGAGGAUGAUCAGUCACACUGGAACUGAGACACGGUCCAGACUCCUACGGGAGGCAGCAGUGGGGAAUAUUGGACAAUGGGCGAAAGCCUGAUCCAGCCAUGCCGCGUGUGUGAAGAAGGUCUUCGGAUUGUAAAGCACUUUUAUUUGGGAAGCGUUACCAACAGAAUAAGCACCGGCUAACUUCGUGCCAGCAGCCGCGGUAAUUC